rnacentral:lncRNA from 1 species
UGAAUCGUCAUCUCUUCGGGUUUAUUUUUUAUUAUCUGAGUCUGAUUAUUUCGGUGUAUUUUAGGUUAUGCAACUGACCCAAUGGUUCCGAUGCAGGACCCACAUGUUUCUUCCUUGCCCUUGUCGCCCACCGUUGCAUCUAUAAUUUAUAACCGUGCCCUUGCAUGAUUAACAAUUUUGCUCUGUUAUUUUUCGUUUUCACUUAUGACCAGUACUUGAUUUAUAUCUAGAUCGUAGAAACGGAGGUGGAGGGCGGCGAGGCUGGAGGCGAGCUCGACGUUUGGGCUGUCGAAGAAGAGAUUCUCUUGGAAGUGUGUGCUGCGGUGGUGGUGAGGAGAGAGGAUGGCAGAGAGACGCUCGUGGCGGAGGAUGGGAGGCGAAUCUUUACAAAAUGGGGUUGUGGUUGACGCUGUAGUAGGGUUGGCAGCGGUGUGGUGAAGAUGGUAUGUUUAAGUUCAAGGAUUGUGGGUGGGAUGAAGUCGCAAGGUGUGGGAUGGAAUGUGAUGAAGUUGCAAGGAUUAUGGGAUGGUGGGGCGUUGCGACGGUGCGGGAUGCAGAUUUAGGAUUUUUUGGUGGAU